rnacentral:rRNA from 1 species
GCUUACGGCCACACCGCCUGGUUCAUGCCCGAUCUCGUUUGAUCUCGGAAGCUAAGGUAGGUUGGGCCUGGUUAGUACUUGGAUGGGAGACAGCCUGGGAAUACCAGGUGCUGUAAGCU